AUUGAACGCUGGCGGCAGGCCUAACACUUGCAAGUCGAACGAGUGGCGGACGGGUGAGUAAUGUCUUGGAAACUGCCCGAUGGAGGGGGAUAACUACUGGAAACGGUAGCUAAUACCGCAUACCAUCGGAUGUUCCCAGAUGGGAUUAGCUAGUUGGUGGGGUAACGGCUCACCUAGGCGACGAUCCCUAGCUGGUCUGAGAGGAUGACCAGCAACACUGGAACGGAGACACGGUCCAGACUCCGACGGGAGGCAGCAGUGGGGAAUAUUGGACAAUGGGCGCAAGCCUGAUGCAGCAAUGCGGCGUGUAUGAAGAAGGCCUUGGGGUUGUAAAGUACUUUGAGCGAGGAGGCGUUACUCGCAGAAGAAGCACCGGCUAACUCCGUGCCAGCCGCCGCGGUAAUUC
rnacentral:rRNA from 1 species